AGAGUUUGAUCAUGGCUCAGGAUGAACGCUGGCGGCGUGCGUAAUACAUGCAAGUCGAACGAACUUCCCGUUGAUUGAUUAUGACGUACUUGUACUGAUUGAGAUUUUAACACGAAGUGAGUGGCGAACGGGUGAGUAACACGUGGGUAACCUGCCCAGAAGUAGGGGAUAACACCUGGAAACAGAUGCUAAUACCGUAUAACAGAGAAAACCGCAUGGUUUUCUUUUAAAAGAUGGCUCUGCUAUCACUUCUGGAUGGACCCGCGGCGUAUUAGCUAGUUGGUGAGGUAAAGGCUCACCAAGGCAGUGAUACGUAGCCGACCUGAGAGGGUAAUCGGCCACAUUGGGACUGAGACACGGCCCAGACUCCUACGGGAGGCAGCAGUAGGGAAUCUUCCACAAUGGACGCAAGUCUGAUGGAGCAACGCCGCGUGAGUGAAGAAGGGUUUCAGCUCGUAAAGCUCUGUUGUUAAAGAAGAACGUGGGUAAGAGUAACUGUUUACCCAGUGACGGUAUUUAACCAGAAAGCCACGGCUAACUACGUGCCAGCAGCCGCGGUAAUACGUAGGUGGCAAGCGUUAUCCGGAUUUAUUGGGCGUAAAGCGAGCGCAGGCGGUCUUUUAAGUCUAAUGUGAAAGCCUUCGGCUCAACUGAAGAAGUGCAUUGGAAACUGGGAGACUUGAGUGCAGAAGAGGACAGUGGAACUCCAUGUGUAGCGGUGAAAUGCGUAGAUAUAUGGAAGAACACCAGUGGCGAAGGCGGCUGUCUGGUCUGCAACUGACGCUGAGGCUCGAAAGCAUGGGUAGCGAACAGGAUUAGAUACCCUGGUAGUCCAUGCCGUAAACGAUGAUUACUAAGUGUUGGAGGGUUUCCGCCCUUCAGUGCUGCGGCUAACGCAUUAAGUAAUCCGCCUGGGGAGUA
rnacentral:rRNA from 1 species